UACGGGGGGGGCAAGCGUUGUUCGGAAUUACUGGGCGUAAAGGGCGCGUAGGCGGCCUGCUAAGUCGAACGUGAAAUCCCUGGGCUCAACCCAGGAACUGCGUCCGAUACUGGUUGGCUUGAAUCCGGGAGAGGGAUGUGGAAUUCCAGGUGUAGCGGUGAAAUGCGUAGAUAUCUGGAGGAACACCGGUGGCGAAGGCGGCAUCCUGGACCAACACUGACGCUGAGUGAGCGAAAGCCAGGGGAGCAAACGGG
rnacentral:rRNA from 1 species